GCUUCGCUCCAGCCCUCACAAAGGAGUGGCCGCCGCCCACUCGGGUGCCAUUUCCCGCCUCAGCGCUCCCGGGCCGCCGCCUUUGAGCGGCGCGGGAGAAGGAUCGAUUUCCUGGGGAGCCGAGCCGUCAGUGAGAUCCCUGCUUCUCCUUCGGCAGACGUUCCGUCUCCAAAGAAGCGGUGAAAAAGGCCGACGAUGGACCGCGAUGGGCCGGACGCCAUCCGCCGGGAGGCAGAGGUGGAGCGUGGCCGCUAUCUGAGCCGCCGGGCCGUGGCCCAGGAGCAGCUGGCGCAAAUAAAGGAGCACAAGGAUCAAGCUGAUCUGGCCAAGCUGGAAAACAGAAGAGAAGGGGAACGAAUACAGCGAAGAACUGAAUCAUACCAAAUAGAAAAUCAGAAAGAUAAAGAAAAGGAACAGGAGAAAAAAGUUGAAUUCCAGAGGCAGCAUCAUGAAUAUGUCGCUGAACAGAAAACACUUAAAGCUGAAGAGAAACAAAGAGAAGACAAAGAUGAUGAUCAAAUUAAGGCUUAUAUUAAAGGAAAAGAAAUGAUGGCUGAUCUGACAAGAGAAAAAAAUGAAGAGUCUAGUAGGAUGAUACAGAAGCAUAAGGACAAAGCUUUUGAUCAAUUAACUGCCCAGAUGAAUGAAAAAAUUAAGAUUGAAGACGAUCGUCUUGCUAGAGGAGCUGCAGAAGUAGAAGAUGAGUACCAAAAGCAAAACAAAGAGAAAGAAAUGAAAAAAAAGGCUGCUGUAGAAUCUAUUGAAGAAAACAGAAUCACUGUGAUGAAGUUGAAAGAGGAAAAGGAGAGACAGGAAAAAGAAGAGGGUGAGAAGGAUCGUAAUCAGUGGAUGACAGAAAAUGAUAACUACUUGGAAAUGGAGAAAGCCAAGAAACAAAGACAGCGUGAUGCAAACAUGGAAGUACAGAAAUUUCAGCUCCAGCAAAUGGCUGAAAAGCAGGCAAGAAAAGAGCAGGAAAAGCAAGCAGACUUGGACUAUGAUUCUCAGAGAGAGGCUACUUUUCAUCAGGAUCAAGCAUUUCGGAGAUAAAGACACUUUUUUCCAGCCAGAAAGAAUGGAAACUUCUGUAAAAGCCUUUUGAUGGCAGAAGCUGGAGCCUUAAAAAGUACGGACUACAGCAGGAGUGGUGCUGAAACCUGCAGAGCUCAAUAAUGCUCCAAAUGCAUCCCUAAGUGCAAAGUUGCACAUGCUCACUGCUAUGCUAUUGAAAUAUAUUUGACCACUCCGGAAGUAUCUACAAAGGAGUAAGCUAGCCCCUCCUUCCUUCCAAGUUCAGUGUGCCUGCAAAACCAAUCAGUGCCCAACAGCAGAAGCUAACUGUGGACCAAUUUAUAAGACAUGUUAUUUGCUAGAACCUGCCUAUAACUCAAGCUCAAGAAACAAGUGCCACAGCUUGCAACUGUACUGUAACUUGUCUGAUUUUAUUAUGGAAUAAAGCAGUAGAUUCUUUUCAGAAAGUCAAGAGGUAACAACCAAAGGUAAACUAUUAGUUCAUCUGUACUGUACUUGAAUAUUGCUGUGCCUCCAGGCUUAAUUCAAACCUUUUGUUUUGACUUGAAAAAAAAAUACCUUACUGAGCAAAUAAAAUUUAGUACAUUUGUCUGUAACAAUAAAAUCUGCAUUAACCAUA